UUUUUUUUUUUUUUUGUAGGAACCACGUAUCUCACACUGAAACCGUUUCGAAUUGUGCAACAUAAGGAGAUGGUUCGGCAUUGAGAUGGUGCUUUAUCCACUAGUGCGCUCGAGCGGUGCUUCUUGAAAAGGUGGAAAGCGACGGCGGUUCGGAAUCGACAUCGGUAUUGGUUGUUGCGAGGAAUAUUCUAACAGCAGAGGUAAUCCCUGAAGCACCGCGGCCCCGGUUAAACGUCGAGGGGAUGGCACUCGAGGCCGACGUUGUGGAUGGCGGUGUCUAAACAAAACGCCCUUGGAAGAUAUGAUGGGCAACGAAUCCUCCCUGAAUAAAUCCCCAAAUAAGGCAGGCGUUCCACAAAUACGUUGGGAGAUCCUCCAUUAGCUACGAAGCUGUGUUUCAGAAUGGAUGUCCUUGCAUCAGGCGUCCUACUUCACCUUGUAAACGGAUUGUUGCAUUGGGAGAUUAGAUGUUACAUUCUGACCUGGUCUUCCUCGUAGACCGGCCAGCUGCCACAGUCCUCACAGGACUUCCAACCUCUUACCCCUCCCCCACCAGCCCUGCUAUCUUGCUUGAGGGAGGUAGGGGUUGUCAAUACAUGCCAUACAAUGUUGUCAUUUUAUUCCUCUGUCCUGUGGAAGUACCCGCUUGUGGUGUCAAUACUGUAUAAUAAAUAAUGAAGUCAA